UACUUUUCAAUUAUUGUAACUGAACUCUAAGUAUUGUGCAUCUCCGAUUUCCCCUUCAGUUUCCAGCUUCGCCCCUCAUCUUCGAUGAAGCUUCAUCCCUCACAGUCUCAAUUUCAUUCCAGAAGGUAACAUAGAUAUACUCAUCGAAAUUCGCAAAUUCAUUCAGCCCAGUAAAUCGUUUUGGGAGAAAUCAACAACCACAACCACAAUGGCCAUUCUCAACAGCAAUAUACAGUGGUGGCCGAUUAGGUGGAGAAAAAAUAUGAGACGAGAAAAUUUCACUGUGUUUUCAUACAAAUACUACUGUGGAUGAGAAGCCUGUUAUUAUCACUGUGGAUGAUGGCAUCCGGCUGAACGCAAAUGUCGCAGAUCUAGCCAAGUUGAAUCUUGUUUUCAAGAAGAGUGGGCCAACCUGCUGGAAAUUCUUGUCAGGUGACGGAUGGUGCUGGAGUGGUUUUGCUGAUGAAGAGAAGUGUCGUCAUGAGUAAAGGGUUGCCUAUUCUGGGUGUGUUUUGUACUAUCAGAGCAUUGGUCCAACCUAUUCUCGGGAAAAAAAAUUGAUGAACUCAAGGAGUUGUGGAUUACAUGUCAAGAUCAACAUGAAGGACAUAUGAUGAAUGAGUUAUAACUUUCAGCCUAAUUUUUUUUACCUUAAUCCAUUUUUGGACCUAUGUUAUAUUUUUGGAUUUGGAUAUUAAUAUCAUGUGGAUGUGGCUAGGCUAGAUUUGAUCUUGUUUAUGAUUUAGAUUAAUAUUGAUUUGUAUAUAUAGUAGUUUUUGGAAGUUUAGAAUUAUGAAUAUUGGUUGAAUUAUUUUGUGAUAUUAAAAUUUUGGGGGGUUUGGAAUAUCA